AAUUGCAUAGGAGCACCACUCUGU
rnacentral:rRNA from 1 species